rnacentral:rRNA from 1 species
GAUGAACGCUGGCGGCGUGCCUAAUACAUGCAAGUCGAGCGAACAGACGAGGAGCUUGCUCCUCUGACGUUAGCGGCGGACGGGUGAGUAACACGUGGAUAACCUACCUAUAAGACUGGGAUAACUUCGGGAAACCGGAGCUAAUACCGGAUAAUAUAUUGAACCGCAUGGUUCAAUAGUGAAAGACGGUUUUGCUGUCACUUAUAGAUGGAUCCGCGCCGCAUUAGCUAGUUGGUAAGGUAACGGCUUACCAAGGCAACGAUGCGUAGCCGACCUGAGAGGGUGAUCGGCCACACUGGAACUGAGACACGGUCCAGACUCCUACGGGAGGCAGCAGUAGAGAAUCUUCCGCAAAGGGCGAAAGCCUGACGGAGCAACGCCGCGUGAGUGAUGAAGGUCUUCGGAUCGUAAAACUCUGUUAUUAGGGAAGAACAAAUGUGUAAGUAACUAUGCACGUCUUGACGGUACCUAAUCAGAAAGCCACGGCUAACUACGUG